rnacentral:rRNA from 1 species
UACAGAGGGUGCAAGCGUUAAUCGGAGUUACUGGGCGUAAAGAGCACGUAGGCGGUUAAUUAAGUCAGUUGUGAAAGCCCUGGGCUUAACCUGGGAACAUCAAAUGAUACUGGUUGACUAGAGUCGAAGAGAGGGAAGCGGAAUUUCCGGUGUAGCGGUGAAAUGCGUAGAUAUCGGAAGGAACAUCAGUGGCGAAGGCGGCUUCCUGGCUUCAGACUGACGCUGAGGUGCGAAAGCGUGGGGAGCAAACAGG